rnacentral:lncRNA from 1 species
AAUCUGUGUGGAGGAGGAAAGGAGGAGAGACUAGAAGCGGAGAGGCCCUUUGGAGGCUCUGGUUCAGGCAAAAAAGGAUGGGCUGUGAAUUCCUGCAUUUAUCUACCUUUGUUUUCCUGUGUAGACACAAGGCUGCCUGGCCUCUCAGAGGUGAGAUAACUUAUUAUCUAGCAACUAUUUCCCUGGAGCCCAGCCUGAGCUGAAGUGGGCUUUCAUUUCUCCUCUUACUGCCUUGCAGUGUAACUUUGG